GUACAAGGACUUAAAUAAAAAAAUUAGAAGCUCAGAUAAAACUAUACGUUAUUUGCUAAAACAGUCCUUUUAUUUCCUUGUUUACACCGGAUCUUGCCAUGAUCCUGAUUCUAUCCUCUGCAUCUUCCUCGUACUGCGCAACGUUCUCUUUCUCGAACGAACUAGAUACUACGAUGGGUGCUAACGAAACGAAUGUGGAGAGCAAAGAGUACCGUCUCUCUCGAGAAGUGAAGGAAGCUCUACAAGCUAUAGCGUCUGAGUGGGAAGACGUGAUCGAUUCCAAGGCACUGCAAGUGAUUCCUCUGAAAGGUGCGAUGACCAACGAGGUUUUCCAGAUCAAGUGGCCCACUAGGGAAAGUGGGCCUUCUCGUAAGGUUCUCGUUAGGAUUUACGGUGAAGGCGUUGGGAUAUUCUUUGACCGUGAGGAUGAGAUCAGGACGUUUGAGUUCAUGUCUAAGCAUGGUCAUGGGCCUUUGUUGUUGGCUCGGUUUGGUAAUGGUCGUAUCGAAGAGUUUCUCCAUGCACGGACACUAUCUGCUUCUGAUUUGCGUGAUCUUGUGAUAUCUGGUCGGAUAGCGACUAGGAUGAAGGAGUUUCAUGGUCUUGACAUGCCUGGUGUGAAGAAGGCUUUGCUUUGGGACAGGCUACGAAAAUGGCUGGUUGCAUGCAAGAGACUGGCUUCACCUGAAGAAGCCAAGUCAUUUCGUCUCGAUGUUAUGGAGAUGGAAAUUAAUUUGCUUGAGAAGUCUCUGUUUAAGAGUGAUGAAAAGAUUGGGUUUUGCCACAAUGAUUUGCAGUAUGGGAACAUAAUGAUGGAUGAGGAAACCAAAGCAAUAACCAUCAUUGUGAGGAUUAUGAAUAUUCUUGCUACAAUCCAGUGGCUUAUGACAUUGCCAAUCACUUCUGCGAGAUGGCUGCUGAUUACCACACUGACACACCUCACAUCAUGGAUUACACUAAAUACCCUGGUGUGGAGGAGCGUAAACGAUUUGUGAAAACAUAUAUGAGUCCUUCAGGUGAAGAACAGCCCAGUGAUACAAUGGUCAAAAAACUCCUUGAAGAUGUUGAGAAAUAUACACUUGCUAGUCAUCUAACUUGGGGUUUAUGGGGAAUCAUAUCGGAACAUGUGAAUGAAAUCGACUUCGACUACAUGGAGUACGCAAGACAAAGGCUUAACCAGUAUUGGUUAACAAAGCAGAGGCUCAUUGGUAAUCCUUGAGGGCUUCAAACAUUAGUAAACUUCUAUGGACGCAUUUCAAGGAGAGUAGUAAUGGUGGUAAAGAGGUAUACAUAAUACAACGAUAUCUACCAGCUUAGAACAAUAAAAAAAAUGUAACGUUCUGUUUCACUUUCUUAUAAGAAGUUAAGUGUAAGGCUGAGUACAAUUUGAUUAGUUUCAGAUGACAUUUUCUCA